rnacentral:rRNA from 1 species
ACUCAAAUGAAUUGACGGGGGCCCGAACAAGCGGUGGAGCAUGUGGUUUAAUUUGAUGCAACGCGAAGAACCUUACCUGGUCUUGACAUCCACGGAAGUUUUCAGAGAUGAGAAUGUGCCUUCGGGAACCGUGAGACAGGUGCUGCAUGGCCGUCGUCAGCUCGUGUUGUGAAAUGUUGGGUUAAGUCCCGCAACAAGCGCAACCCUUAUCCUUUGUUGCCAGCGGUCCGGCCGGGAACUCAAAGGAGACUGCCAGUGAUAAACUGGAGGAAGGUGGGGAUGACGUCAAGUCAUCAUGGCCCUUACGACCAGGGCUACACACGUGCUACAAUGGCGCAUACAAAGAGAAGCGACCUCGCGAGAGCAAGCGGACCUCAUAAAGUGCGUCGUAGUCCGGAUUGGAGUCUGCAACUCGACUCCAUGAAGUCGGAAUCGCUAGUAAUCGUGGAUCAGAAUGCCACGGUGAAUACGUUCCCGGGCCUUGUACACACCGCCCGUCACACCAUGGGAGUGGGUUGCAAAAGAAGUAGGUAGCUUAACCUUCGGGAGGGCGCUUACCACUUUGUGAUUCAUGAAGGGGGUGAAGUCGUAACAAGGUAA